UUUCCGGUGAGGAGGAGGUUGCCGUUGCCGCCACUUGGGCCAGAGCUGGGGGGCUGUGUCUCCGGGGGCCGGGAGGGGCAGAUGAAUGGGCAGCGGGCGGGAGAAUAUGAGUGGCUUUCCUCGACAAGGAGGACUUCCGGGGUUAAAUCAUCCGGAAGCGGAAGACAAGGGCUGUCUGCUGUCCGCCUGGCUCUCCGCGGGAACGGCGGCGGCGGCGGCGGGUGGCGGCGGUGGAGGUUCCGGGGCUGCCCCGUCUCAACUGGUGGCCCGAGCGCCUCUGGACUCUGCGUCAUCUCGACCACUGUUCCCCGCUUCAGCCCGGGCGGGUCGGAGAGCGAGGGGCCGCGGGCGGGCUAGAAUGGAAGAAUCUCACUUCAACUCCUCCCCGUAUUUCUGGCCAGGAGUGCCCACAGUCUCGGGACAGAUUGACAACAGUAUGUUCAUUAACAAAAUGAAGGAGCAGUUGUUGCCCUCAGAAAAGAGCUGUGGUCUGGCUCCCCCUCACUAUCCUACUUUACUGACUGUCCCCACUUCUGUGGCCCUUCCCACCAACAUUUCUAUGGAUUCUGACACCAAGCCAGAACACCUUACCCCAACCAGCCAGACGUCAGUAACACAGAACAUCACAGUGGUACCAGUGCAGUCUACUGGGCUCAUGACAACAGGACCUGGUCUGGUAAUAACUUCUCCCUCUGGAUCCCUGGUGACCACAGCCUCUUCUGUGCAAACUUUUCCCAUUUCUGCACCCAUGAUUGUCUCAGCUCUUCCUCCUGGUUCCCAGGCAGCUCUCCAAGUAAUACCUGACCUUUCUAAGAAGGGCAUCCUUGCAGAGGGUGGGGCAGUGAGUGCUGCUGGCAGUAUCACCCCUAAAGCUCCCAGGGGAAGAAAAAAGAAGCGGCUGCAGGAAACGGGCCUGCCGGACAUGAGUGAUCCUUUUGUGUUACCCAAUGAAGAUGAAGAAGACCAGCACAAAGAUGGCAAGACAUACCGGUGCCGGAUGUGUUCCCUGACCUUUUACUCCAAGUCAGAAAUGCAGAUCCACUCCAAGUCCCACACCGAGGCAAAGCCACACAAGUGCCCUCACUGCUCCAAGAGUUUUGCGAACAGCUCCUACCUGGCCCAACAUAUACGCAUCCAUUCAGGGGCUAAGCCCUACACCUGCAGCUACUGCCAGAAAGCCUUCCGCCAACUCUCACAUCUACAACAGCACACACGGAUCCACUCCAAGCUCCACACGGCGGUUGUCAAGCCACACAAGUGCCCUCACUGCUCCAAGAGCUUCGCCAACACGUCCUACCUGGCCCAGCACCUCCGCAUCCAUUCGGGGGUCAAACCCUACACGUGCCGUUACUGCCAGAAGGCGUUCCGCCAGCUCUCCCACCUACAGCAGCACACACGGAUUCAUACUGGAGAUCGACCCUACAAAUGUGCUCACCCUGGCUGUGAAAAGGCUUUCACGCAACUUUCAAACUUGCAGUCCCACAGAAGGCAGCACAACAAAGACAAACCCUUCAAGUGCCACAAUUGCCACCGAGCAUACACAGAUGCCACCUCGUUGGAGGUUCAUCUAGCCACUCACACAGUGAAGCAUGCCAAGAUUUACAACUGCUCCAUGUGCAAUCGGGCCUAUACCUCGGAAACAUAUUUGAUGAAACACAUGCGGAAACACAACAUCCCUGACCCCCAGCAGCAGGUGGCUGUGGUCCAAGCCCAAGUCCAGGCUCAAUCACAGGCAUCACAGCAGCAGCACUUCCAAGCACAGGGCAGUGGAGCAGCAGGGGGUCCAUCUGGAGACAACCCGUCCAAUCCUCCCCCACAGUGUUCUUUUGACCUUACCCCUUAUAAAACUUCGGAGCAUCACAAAGACAUCUGCCUCACGGUUAGCACCAGCACCAUCCAAGUGGAGCACCUUUCCAGUUCUUAGAGACCAUGGCCGAAGAGGGGAGUGGAAAACUUCUCCUGCAUCAUCUGUGUGCCCAUGGGCAGUUCUUUUGUGAUGGCCUCUCCUCAUGCAGCAGCUUGUGACGGCUUCCCUUAGGGGGAGGGAAAUGGGUAUUCUAUCUAUUUAGUGGCCGCUCCUUGGCGUUACCAUUAGUGCCUCCAGAGGCACAACCUUCCCCCCGUAAGCAGGGGAUCGAACUCUCUUUGUGCAAGAAGAGGGCUCCUCCCUUACACCAGGCCUUCUUGUUCAUUAAGGGAACCCCACUUUCUCUCUCACUUGAUAAGGUAUCCAGCAGAGAUAAGAAAUGAGGGGGUACCAGUGGACGAAAGGAGCUUCGGCAAUGACUGAUUGCAAGUAAAUGAGGUGACUGGGAGUCUUCCAAAGAUUCCCUUGGGGUGUAGACUGGAGAACGUUCACUCGUUAUGUCACUCCCUUCCUUCACCCCCUCUUUCCUGUGAGCUGGAGGAAGGAAGAAUGGCUGCUCCUGUUCUAGGCAUCAAAUGUUGUUUGGCUUACAAAACCUUGAAGAUAAUGGGAUGUUGCUGGUGACUGACAGCUGAGUCUGCACAAUCCAAUUCUUGAGGGGGCUAUGGAAUGGGGGAGUGCCUAAUCUUUUCCCAGCCAACUUCAGGAAGAAUUAGGGAUGGGAAGGUGACGAGCGCUAAUAGGUGGUUCUUGUUAUGAAGCUAGAAGACAGAAAUUUGUCCAGUGACUGCCUUUUCCUUCUGACUAUGUUUGGCUAAUAAUGUCUCAGUUGAAAUAUUGUACUAAAACAGGUUCUCAAUUUUUUUGUGAUAUAGCAUCUCCCAAAAUGCUAAAUGUAUAUGUGUGAUACCCCAUGACAAUGGAAUUAUUUAAAAAGAAAUGUUUUUUUUCUCUCGGGUUAGGCUGGGGCAAUAAAUCAAAAUACUUCUUUUAAUAAUUAAAAUUUAAUUUAUAUAUCACAGGUUUUUCAAACUUUGAAGGACCACAACUGCUCCUUUCAGUUUGCACAAACAAAACAAGAUGCAAACCCCACAAAUUUUGAUACUGAUUUGCACAAGCUUAUUUUUAAAAAAUACACACAGCCUCUGUGAAUCCUCUCUAAAUUGUGCAUAGUCUGCAGCACCAAGCUGUUUUAAUCAUGAUUUGUUAAGAUUAGAGAUCAUAGUUUCCAAAUCACAAUGGCUAGAGUCACAUAUUCAAUUACAAUCACCCAAACCACUUUACGGCUUGUAUUAAUAAACUGCAAAUGUAGCCUUUCAGGGGACUGGAAUUCACUACUCUCUUUCAGUGCUCUUGGUAUAACCCUAACCCUAAACAAUCAAAUUCUAAUACUCCUGAGAAAUUGGUUUUGCUCUCACUUCUGAUAUAGUCAAAACUACCUUUCCUCAACUAGUUAAAAUUUGGACACUCAUGACUAUAGCAUUUGCUGCAAUAGCAAAAACAAUUCUAAAGAUACCUGCACUAAGCCUGGGUUUGUUAUAACCAUAGCUUUUUAAAAUAAAGCAAAAUUAUAUACUGUAUGUUUAUACAGUACAAAAGCCAUGGUUUAUAAAUCAGUAGCUAUGUUUACAUGACAGCCUAAAGUCAAAGCCAGGGAAAAUAUAUAUUCAUCUGUUGCAAAGUGUGAAUUCAGCAUGUAAGAUUACCACAUGAUAUGGCAAAUGGCUUUCAGACCAAUCCAUUAUUCAAAUUUUAUGUUGGAACAAGUCUAAAAUUGUCAGGUAGCUGCAUGUUGUGAUCACAUAUUGUGGCUUUCUUAUUUUCAUGGGAUCAACACGUAGUCUUGAUCUCUUCUAUUCGUCUGUUUGCAACACUACCGAAAAGUGGAACUUCAUUUUACUCACUACGUGGAAAAGGGAAAUUUUGCCUUUCACCAGCCAAUAAUAUUUAAUGCCAGUGUGUUUUGCUCCAGAAAUAGAUAGCUUGGAACAUGUUAUCAUCAAUAUGAAUUUAAGGAAGCUUACUGGAUCAGAAGAAACCUGUUGAUUUACAUUACAUUUUUGGUCUCCUCUUCUCCAUUCUAUAAAGAUUCAUAUGUCAGAUUUCUCCAUUGGGACUUCUGAUGUGUUUUCUUUUAGUGCUAGAGGAUGGAGGUCUUUAACCACAAUUUUCCUUUUCUGUUCCUGUCUUUCAAGCUUUUAUUCCUGUCUCAAGUAAGCAAAUACCAAUAUUUGGACAAGCAAAAGAUUGAGGGGAAUAGCAAGUGUGAGGCUCUAUUUCCUCAGCAUUGUGUCUAAGUUUGAACUGGCUUAUUAUAAUUGUUUUGUGGUGAAAUGGGGAAAUCUUCAGGAAAAGGUAUGGGAGAAGCAUUGACAACAUGGGUUAUAACGAUGCAAAUGAUACAACUUACAUACUUGUAUCAGAUGUCAUCAUGCAAGUUCUAGGUUGAUUGAUUUGCAUGAUGAUGUUAUGAUGCAUGUUGUCACUUUGGCAUCAGACAGUUUAUUACAGAUUCAGCUUCCUUAAAUCUGUCUUUCAAACAGACUUCUCCAUUGCCUGAUUUCAUAUUCUGCAACUAAUUAUGAAUAACUAUAAAAAGCAUGGGAAUAAACAAAUUAUACAAUACAAACAAAGCAUAAUGGCACUUGAGAUGUACCCAACUUGAAACUGUUUGACACAUUUAAACUAAAAAUAUCAUUUAAUUAGGAAAUCAACUAAGGUUCCAUGGGUACCAAUUGAAUUAACAUGGCAGAAAUUUAAUGUUUAUUACUUCAAAUCUGUACUGAAUACUUAGAAGGCUGGAAAAAAUAGAAACAAUUUUAAAGUCCUGAACUUUCCUUCCUCAUCCUCUUUUUAAGCAUAAGGACAUAUUUUAGUACAAAAUACAUGUACAUGCCCACCAUAAAACAAUGGUAAAUUAAUGGGCUCCAGUAAACCUAUUAGUGCUGAAUAUUUUAUACAAGCCAUAAGUUCCAACUGUAACUAAGCUCAAUCAUUCUUUCGUAAACUAUUUACAUAAAUCAAUCUUCUCCAUUAAGUUCCUUGAUAAGAUUACCAAAUGGCCUUCAUUUAGGAAUGGGAAUUUUAUAGGUUUUUAAAACUCUUUAACAGCACAACAGAUUUUUCUGAAAGUCCUAUAUAAAUUAUGUGGGAUAUAAUUUAGAGAUUCCCAGUGCGGUGCUCUGUAGUUUAAAACAGUUUUUAAAUUUAUUUCAUGGAGUCAUCUAGAUUUGCUUCUGAAGUUAAUCAACAGGUGGCACUCUACUCCACAUAAAAGCUAUAAAUUUUGUAGAUAGGUUUGACAACAUUCUAAAGUUAUAGAUAUCCAUUUUGACAGCAAAGUCCAUUUAGACAUUUCAGAUUAUUUUUCACCUUUUCACCCAUCUCACCUAGAGGUGACUCUGGUAAUAAAAACAAGAUAAAACAUUAAAACAUGGCUAUCCAACACUUUGGCUUGGCUGGGCUCCAUUGAGUGAAGAGGAAUUGUCUUGUGCCACAUAUAAAAUAUAUAAUAUAGUUAAUGUAAUAAAUAACAAACUUCCUUAAAAAUUUUUUAUAUGAUCUUGUGGGACCGCAUUGUAGUUGUCAGUGUCGCAUGCAGCCUGCGGGCCACAGGUUGGACACACCUGCAUUAAAUCAAAUAUAUGUAAUUUUUGUUAAUUUUUCCUAAAACAAACAAACGAAAGAAUAAACAAAUAAAGAAAUUUAGUUAAUUUCUACUAGCCACCAGGUUUUUUUAUGGCAAGGACCAGAAAUCUGAAAUACAUUGUUAAGAAGUAUGAAACAUAAACUUAAGUGGCAAAUUGCUGUAACAGAAAAAUAAAUACAAUUAGGAUCUCUGAAAAAUUCUGCAAUUUCAAGAUCUGUUGCCAAUUAUUUUGCCUUUGUAUAGUUAUCACUAUGGAAAGAAAUACUGUAUAAGCAUGUUUACAAUUCUUUCAAGGUCACUUACGAUUCUAUAUCCAUACAUCAUUUUUAUUUUCAUUUUCAGCUGCCUUUGCUUUUGUCAAAUUCAAUUUACAUUUUUGUAUUUGUUUAAU